UAACAUUGUGCUUGCACAGAUGACGACCGGCGCACGGGUGCGUAACGCGUAUAGAACCUACCUUUUACAGAGGAAUAGCCUUUAGAAAUGAAGAUUAAUGCCUCAUGGUAUUGUAGACUGGCAUCAGUUUAUAAUUAAAGAUUUAUCGGUAAAAGAUGGCUAUGCGUCCUAUUAGUUAGUUGGUAAGGUAACGGCUUACCAAGACAGCGAUAGGUAGGGGUCCUGAGAGGGAGAUCCCCCACACUGGUACUGAGACACGGACCAGACUCCUACGGGAGGCAGCAGUGAGGAAUAUUGGACAAUGGAGGAGACUCUGAUCCAGCCAUGCCGCGUGUAGGAAGAAUGCCCUAUGGGUUGUAAACUACUUUUAUACAGGAAGAAACACUGGUAUGUAUACCAGCUUGACGGUACUGUAAGAAUAAGGACC
rnacentral:rRNA from 1 species